UAAAAAAAAAAAAAAACUGUGGGAUUUGUGUGUACGUGUGUGUCUAUAUAUAUAUAUAUAUAUAUAUAAAGAGAGAAUGGCGUAAUCACAUCCGCUGCUAGAUUGCAUCGCAUAUACAUAAACAGUAUUGUUUGGCCUUUCUCUUGGGCGGGUUCCCAUAUUUAAUUGAUUGGAAUUCUUGUACAUUGGACCAAAAGAUUCUUUCUUGGGUGGAAGCCAUAUUAAGGAAUUGAAAUUACUGAUUAGAGGGUGGGCGCAUCACAAGUCUGUUGGCGGUAGUAAGCAUGGAUUGAUUAGCGUCAUUUGUUUUCAAAUCAAAGGCCGCCCUGCCUUCCUUUUUGCUUUUUGUCGUUCCCAAUUGGUAAAGCUACGGCUAAGAAAUGCUUGAGUAUGUCGCUUUAAUAAGUAUUUGACAUGAAUAUAAUUUCAUCUACGAAAUUAUUGUUAGCUACGUCAUGCUGGCCGGUUUUUGCACAUGUCACUUUAGAAAAUUAGCACAAUGUUUAAAAAAUAAAAGAAUAUAAUAUGAUUUGAAACCACCCAAUGUUGAAAUUGGCCUAUUCCAAAUCCAUUCGGCUCAUUGACCGGUAAAAGGGUGUUUUUAUAUUUUUAAAAAUGUUUUUAAUCUUUUCCUAUUUAAUUUUUUUUAUAGGUUUUUUUGUACUUUUAAAAGGAAAUAGCGUGUAAUAACAUUUCUUCCUGAUUCAUUCAUUUGAAUCGGAACCCAGGCCUAUUUACCUGUAUGUCUGGCACUGCAACCUCUUUACUCAAAACAAAUCUGACUGUUUCCGAAUUUAUUUCCGGUGUCGAGGUGCGGGGAGUCGGCCUUCCCACCUUUAUUGAUCAAAUAAUUUAGAGAACUUGAAGAAAAGAGUUCAAAACAAGCUUCCAUUAGAAGAGUUCAAAACAGUCAUCGUGUUUUUGAAUUAUUAGCAUCAUGGGGCCUACACCCACUUAAAAAUUUUAGGCAAAUAAAGGUUUGUUGUUUUGUUUUGACUUGGUCAUAUACAAGUCAAACAUUGGGCAUUUGUGUCAUUAUACAAACUGUUAUUUUUACUUUAUGAAAGGGUUCGAGUUGGUUCCCUUUCUUUUUCUGGUUUUCAUCUUUUUUUUUUUGUUGUGGGCUGCGUUUUUGGUGGAGCUUCCUCAAGUCGUGGCUGAAAAAAUGGAGCCUCCAAGCUGCUGCAGUUUUCUCCAUACAAUCAAAUGGUGGAGAGAGAAAAAGUGAGAAGACAGAGACAGAUUUGGGGCAGAAGGUCACGGCUAACAGCGUUGUUUGUAAGGGGAUUUCUUAGUUUCAGUUUAUUUGAUCUCACUGUACUUGAUGUUCCUUAUAAUAGAGAAUCCUGUUGAGUUCUCCCCGUGGAUGUAGGAAGGCAAACAGCCUAUCCGAACAACAUAAAUUAGUGUGGUUUAUGUGAGACUGAUUUCUCUGUUUUUCUA